AUUUAUAUAGUUUAAUAAAAACAUUACAUUUUCAAUGUAAAAUUAAUUUUUAAUUUAUAAAUA
rnacentral:tRNA from 2 species